rnacentral:lncRNA from 1 species
CAUGGAACAGCGAGUACGGAAAGUUCUUCAUGGAAUGGUAUUCCGAGAAGCUACUAGAACAUGGAGACAGACUCUUAGCUUCAGCCAAAGGAAUCUUCCAAGGAACCGGAGCAAAGCUAUCCGGUAAAGUAGCAGGGAUUCACUGGCACUACAACACCAGGUCACACGCUGCUGAGCUAACCGCUGGAUACUACAACACAAGAAACCACGACGGGUACUUACCAAUAGCCAAGAUGUUCAACAAACAUGGCGUUGUGCUUAACUUCACCUGCAUGGAGAUGAAAGACGGUGAACAACCAGAGCACGCGAACUGCUCACCGGAAGGUCUGGUUAAGCAAGUGCAGAACGCGACGAGGCAGGCAGGAACAGAGCUAGCUGGUGAGAACGCGUUAGAGAGAUACGACUCGAGCGCGUUUGGACAAGUGGUUGCAACGAAUAGGUCAGAUUCUGGAAACGGGUUAACCGCAUUUACUUACCUGAGAAUGAACAAGAGGUUAUUUGAGGGUCAAAAUUGGCAGCAGUUAGUGGAGUUUGUUAAGAACAUGAAGGAAGGUGG